rnacentral:misc_RNA from 1 species
AGAACAACCAAAUGCAUUAAGCUCUCGCUAUUAUUUCUCCCGGUAAUGUUAAUUAACCGAAUUAAUGAUCAAGGAUGAGUAAUUUUGUUUGCAGAAUCAUCCAGUCGAUUGAUAAGGUAAAGUGCAUUACUAGUAACUCUAGCAACAUUCGUAAUCUUUCGUUUCACAUCAGACCUGAUUUUGCCAUCAAUUUCCUUGAAUCCAUCAAGACAUGUAUCUUCAUUUGUCAAAGCAGCACUUACCCACGUCUCCAAAUUGCUCAUUUGCCACUUAAAUGCAUUUCCCCUGCGUACAUGUUUAAGCUCUGACAAACUCUUCCUCAGCUCCUCCAUCGAGUCACCCAUCUGUUCGAUACAAUCACUCAAUGCCCCUUUCUCUCUUUUGCUUUCCACUUUCACCCGAGACAGGAACCCAGACGCUUUACCUGCUCGAGAAAGGGUAAUUUUCACCGCGGCUUGAGCUAAAUCCUGCGGGGUGUUAAUGGGUGUGUCCGAGUAUGAAGAGAGUGUUCUGACGCAAAUUGUGGGAUAGCUGGCGUGCACGCAGGAAGAGCGGACAAUGUCACUA